AUUCAGUUCUUGCAUCGAGAUUUUUCGAGCGAGAGAGAUGGAGACCGAGAAAGGGAGAAGAGAAACACAUACAAAGAGUGUUUGAUCGAGAGAUUUAUGGAAUGCUAGAGUAAUUGAGAUUGUGAAUUAUCGCGAGAAGGGAGUCACAGAUGCAUAAGAAAUUGAAGCCUUAAUUCUGCCACCGAGAUGAAAAAAGACACUUUCUCCUUUCUUGUCCUCACUUGUGUUCUUGUGGCUGCACUUGGCUAGCUCAGGGAAGCAUGUCAUAGUCACACUUGGUAGAAGGGAAGCAACAAAAGUAUUGAAAAGUGUAUUCCAAGGAGAUGCUGGAUACUAGAUUGCAGAAGGCCAAAGGGUGCAGCUGUUCUUAUUUUAUGAGAGGAGAUGCUUGUUGUGCAUUUUUUUAAUAAUCAUUGCUUUAUCAUUUUCGUACGUAUUUUGUCCAUGAACUUAAAGAAAUACUGUAUAACUCUCUUUUUGAAAUACAAGUGAAUGUGCCACUCACUUUUACA